rnacentral:rRNA from 1 species
AGAACGAACGCUGGCGGCAUGCCUAACACAUGCAAGUCGAACGCUCCUGGGGCUUCGGUCUCAGGGGAGUGGCGCACGGGUGAGUAGCGCGUGGGAACCUGCCCUGUUGUGGGGGAUAACCGAGGGAAACUUCGGCUAAUACCGCAUAAGCCGGUUGUCUUGAAAGGGAUGGCCGGGAAAGAUUUAUCGCGACAGGAGGGGCCCGCGUCGGAUUAGCUAGUUGGUGGGGUAACGGCCCACCAAGGCAGUGAUCCGUAGCUGGUCUGAGAGGAUGAUCAGCCACACUGGGACUGAGACACGGCCCAGACUCCUACGGGAGGCAGCAGUGGGGAAUAUUGGACAAUGGGCGCAAGCCUGAUCCAGCAAUGCCGCGUGAGUGAUGAAGGCCUUAGGGUUGUAAAGCUCUUUCGCCCGCGACGAUGAUGACGGUAGCGGGAGAAGAAGCCCGGCUAACUUCGUGCCAGCAGCCGC